UAAGACGAACCGUGCGAACGUUGUUCGGAAUCACUGGGCUUAAAGGGCGCGUAGGCGGUCAAUCCAGUCGGGGGUGAAAUCUUGCAGCUUAACUGUAAAAGUGCCUUCGAUACUGAUUGACUCGAGGGAGGUAGGGGCAGGUGGAACUUCCAGUGGAGCGGUGAAAUGUGUUGAUAUUGGAAGGAACGCCGGUGGCGAAAGCGACCUGCUGGAUCUCUUCUGACGCUGAGGCGCGAAAGCUAGGGGAGCAAACGGGAUUAGAUACCCCGGUAGUCCUAGCCCUAAACGAUGAGUACUGAGUAGUGGACUUACAUGGGUUCACUGCUGAAGCAAAAGUGGUAAGUACUCCGCCUGGGGAGUAUGGUCGCAAGGCUG
rnacentral:rRNA from 1 species